AACGAACGCUGGCGGCAGGCUUAACACAUGCAAGUCGAGCGGUAACAGGCCGCAAGGUGCUGACGAGUGGCGAACGGGUGAGUAAUGCAUCGGAACGUGCCCAGUCGUGGGGGACAACGCAGCGAAAGCUGCGCUAAUACCGCAUACGAUCUAUGGAUGAAAGCGGGGGACCGUAAGGCCUCGCGCGAUUGGAGCGGCCGAUGUCAGAUUAGGUAGUUGGUGAGGGAAAGGCUCACCAAGCCAACGAUCUGUAGCUGGUCUGAGAGGACGACCAGCCACACUGGGACGGAGAACCGGCCCAGACUCCUACGGGAGGCAGCAGUGGGGAAUUUUGGACAAUGGGCGCAAGCCUGAUCCAGCAAUGCCGCGUGCAGGAAGAAGGCCUUCGGGUUGUAAACUGCUUUUGUACGGAACGAAACGGUCCGGGCUAAUACCCUGGGCUAAUGACGGUACCGUAAGAAUAAGCACCGGCUAACUACGUGCCAGCCGCCGCGGUAA
rnacentral:rRNA from 1 species